UACGAAGGGGGCUAGCGUUGCUCGGAACUACUGGGCGUAAAGGGCGCGUAGGCGGACAGUUUAGUCAGAGGUGAAAGCCCAGGGCUCAACCUUGGAAUUGCCUUUGAUACUGGCUGUCUUGAGUUCGGGAGAGGUGAGUGGAAUGCCGAGUGUAGAGGUGAAAUUCGUAGAUAUUCGGCGGAACACCAGUGGCGAAGGCGACUCACUGGCCCGAUACUGACGCUGAGGCGCGAAAGCGUGGGGAGCAAACAGG
rnacentral:rRNA from 1 species